AACCCCAUAGGCAAGCUACUAUUAUUGCACCUGUUUCACAGAUAGGGAAAAGGAUCCCAGAAGUGGCAAACCCAAGUUCACCCUUCUGAGAAAUGGUGUGGAAACUGGAGCCCAGAGAGCAUAAGUAACCUGUCCAGAGAUGCACAACACACAAAUAGUGCGCUUCCAAAGCUCAUGUUCGCUCUCACCCAGGCCGCUGCUCAGAUAAAAAACUUACCGGAUCGGACAUGGUGAAGUAAGCACCUGAGAAACGGGUGCGAUUAUUCUUUUCUUCCUGCACCUGCAGGGCGGGCUGCACGAAGGCGGCGGCCAGGCCGUGUGCAUUCCCCGGAAGCUUUCUUAAUGCAAAGUGACAGAGCGCGGCGGUCUGGGGCUGGAGCCGCUGCCCCCUCCACGUGCUCCCCAAUUCCGGCGCCUGGUGGUUCUCCCCGCACUCCGGCGCCGCACCCCGCUGGCUCCCCGCUCCCAGCCCGUGCUGCCACGCUUGGGCGCCCCGCAUUGGGGACACCCCUCCCAGUUCUUCCCAGCCUCUCUGGGAGCCGGCGAGGGGGCUCCGCCAAGACGCCCCUGCUAGGCUGGCAGCCCGGGCGCUGGCCCCACUCCUGGCGAACCCGCCUCACCUCCUGGCGCUCCUGUUGCCGCUGCUUGCGCUGGCCCUCGGGUCG
rnacentral:lncRNA from 1 species